GCCUGAGCCUCGGCGGAGUCGAUCCACUGCAAACAAGGCCGGAGCAAGCAGGAGUCGCUGCAGCCCUUGCGGAGAACUCUGCACCCGUUGCAACUCAUCUCCGACGAUGUCUCAUCCACCGCUCGAUCGCUACACGGAGAUGAUUGUGAAGGACGCAAAAGAGUAUGGUAAGAACAGUGUCAGAACCUACAUACAGCAAACAAUGUCUCAGCACCAUAGCAAACAACAGCAGUAUGAAUCAGGCUUUGAUCCAAGCUACAUAGACUGCACCUUCUCUUCUUGACUUCUGCUUAGAUUACGACGCCUGGACUCUCUGGAAGAGAUGGAAGGUCUAAUAUUCCGAGUCUGCAACAGCAAUAAGUGCAGGUCAGGUGACCUGACAGGCUCAUCUUUCCUCAUCCAUCGAGGACGAUGCCAGAGGACCUCCACCUCCCCUGCUGCUGGGCUUCUGGAUGUCGCUUGUGGGUGGAGGACGAGGUGUUGGUGAUUGCUGAAUCAAGUCUCCAGCUUCGUCACAGCUCGUCUCCACGUUCUUGCUGAGUGCUUUAGUGACUGCAUGAAGCGCAUAUGGAUCGUUCAUGCUGUAGGCUCCGUCGCUAGUAAUGGUGUCGACGAAACCAGCAGAGUAGAACGAGUGGCGGUCAGCAUCAUCCGAACAAUAGAACGGAUCGGCGCAACGAGCAGGCCAUAAUAUGGAUUCGUCACCAUGCUGCGGAGGAGCACCAGAUCGUUGCGGCAUUACGUCGAACACCUCAGGUGCAAGAGAGAUCCAAAAUGCCCCCGAGACAAUCCAUCGGUUUCCAUUCGGGGCGAGGGUGGGAAGGGAUGAAGAGUGUGUGAGAGUGCUCGGUUUGCUUGAUGAGACAAUGGCAUGGUUUGUGGAGUACUUAUACCCGUAAAGUAGUUGACUUCAAACUUCGAUAUCAGCAUCGGCAAAGAAAGCAAUCGUAGAGUCCACCGAAGGCGGCACAAUUAAGACGGUGGCAAUGACGGAGUAGGAAAAGACACAUUAGAUGGAAGUCAAAAUAAUAAGUCAUGAAUAAUUACAUGAGCACAAAACAAAGUGAUUGAAAGGUGAUGAGCGGAUGAUUAACUGAGGUUACAGUAGUCGGUAGGAAGGAGAUGUGGGAGAUUUUAGGUAUAUAGUAAACAAAUACGGGGGGAUUUACUUUGUUUCAAUAUGGGAUAUAAUAUAAACAAGAAUAUAAGGGAGGACUGACACGGAAAUACUCACCCCUAAUCACAACACAAGUAUAUCACGUGUAAUGUAAGAUCCCAUCAACAGGUAAAAUCAAGUGUGAUUAAAAAAUAUUUUAUUCAUAUCAUAAAAUAAGUUAACUAUAAGACCACAUGUAAGUCACAACGGAGCACACGUCCGAAUCUACCUCAGUCAUCAAGAGACUAAUUGAACUUUCAACCACAUUUCUUACGCAUACAAAUCUGAACCGAGUUAAGUUAAUCUUGGCAUCACCAAUAUCGACACUUUUAAGGAGAAGGAACUAAAGAGAUCCGCAUAGGCAUGGAAAGUAACAUGAACUUGGCAUUCACGUAAUAUUUACACAAUUAAAAGCAUGAUCAAAAAUUUAAAUUGGUUGGCCUUGUUUAGUUAUUUCUGAGUUAUCCAAUGUAGAAUUAUCGUAAGUACCUCUAAAGCUAUUUUUUUGGUUUCUUAUUUGAUUGAAUAAAUCCAAAUUAAGAUCAGUAGACUCGUCUAUCUCUAUAAAUCAACUCAAAUAUUAAACUAAAUCACAGCACCUGUUGUCUAAAACAUAUGCUUUUUCUGCGUGAUCCUUUUUUAUGGGCACGAAAAGACACAUCAAAGAAAGAAAGAGAGAGAAACAGAUCCAGAAUGUAUAAAAGGUUUGGAUUUGAUGUAUGUUUUUAAUGACUAAAUUCUAAUGGACGACGUGUAAUUCCAACAAACAAUUUUGAACUAUGAGCCGAUACUUACAAAAUGAGGGGUAAUCAAGUUUUAGAUCACACAUACUCAAAUACCGAAGCACUAAAACACGAAAAUGAAAGCCAAAAUUCAGUCAUGACAAAGAAACCACUGAAAUAAGCCCACUAAUGGAACAUG